CUCCGCCGGCGACCGGCGCACGGGUGAGUAACACGUAUGCAACCUGCCCCUGUCAGGGGGACAACCCGCCGAAAGGCGGGCUAAACCCGCGUACAUGCCACCGGGGCAUCCCGGAGGCAGGAAAGGCUUCGGCCGGACAGGGAUGGGCAUGCGGCGCAUUAGCUAGUCGGCGGGGUAACGGCCCACCGAGGCGACGAUGCGUAGGGGUUCUGAGAGGAAGGUCCCCCACACUGGUACUGAGACACGGACCAGACUCCUACGGGAGGCAGCAG
rnacentral:rRNA from 1 species